rnacentral:lncRNA from 1 species
GCCUUCUUUAGGUUGCAACACAAAGAACCCGGAAUCGAUACCGGCUACACGGAAGGCUUCCUCUGCAUCAAGGGGUUCACCGUUCGGUCCUACGGCCUUGGAAUUCGGCCUGCCUGUGAGCAAUCCAGCUAUGUAGGAAAGAGGAACAAGAUCCCCAGAGGCAGUAAUUGUGCCACGAAGUGGCAAACAUGGAGUUAUGUUGUUGUUGAUAAGCUUUGUAAUUGCCUCCAAAAUCUCAAAUCUAAUGCCAGAGUAACCCUGGAGAAGGGUGUUGAUCCUAACAAGCAUAGCUGCUCUGGUUGCCGAGUGAGGAAGUGUGUGGCAUGACUCAGUUCCAUGGCCAAAGACCCCAGCAUUCAAGAACCUGUAGGAACAACAAACAGAUUUAAUUAUACUUGCUGUUCAUCAUAUUUUAUCCAACUCCCUGUUCACCAGGUAUUAAUUUGCCAUAAAUUUUCCUUGACCUUUCUAUUAAUAGCCUUAUCAACCUUGGUAAGCUAACGUGUAUUCAUGCUUUUUCCAAAAGUAGUAGGGCCACUAAAAAACUCAUUAUAAUUGAUAAAAUAAUGGUAACUCGGUUAUAACUCAUCCCACCAGACCCAAUGAACUUAACUGCCGUCCAGUUUGGACUAUUUCCACAAAAGUGAUAUUCUGUCCAGUUUUAUGAUAAUUGCUAAGUUUGUAGUAUAUAAAAAAAAAAACCUCACCUAAUGAGCUCUUUUUGAAGGGCUGCUCCUUGCUUGGUUCUUCGAUGAGAAGUAGCACCAAAACCAGUGGUAACACCAUAGCUGUCAGUGCCUUUGUUCAUGCCAUCAAGGACCCAAUCAGCACUGGCCUUGACGCCAGCCCUAGCAUCCUCGGAAAGCUCAACCUUG